rnacentral:rRNA from 1 species
GAGAGCGGCGCACGGGUGCGGAACACGUGUGCAACCUGCCUUUAUCUGGGGGAUAGCCUUUCGAAAGGAAGAUUAAUACCCCAUAAUAUAUUGAGUGGCAUCACUUAAUAUUGAAAACUCCGGUGGAUAGAGAUGGGCACGCGCAAGAUUAGAUAGUUGGUAGGGUAACGGCCUACCAAGUCGAUGAUCUUUAGGGGGCCUGAGAGGGUGAUCCCCCACACUGGUACUGAGACACGGACCAG